rnacentral:rRNA from 1 species
UUAAAAAGCUCGUAGUUGAAUUUCGGGAUCAAUUAGUCGGUCGUGCCUCUGGUACGUACUGGUUUUAUUGGUUCCUCCCUUCUGACGAAACAUGAUGUCAUUAAUUUGGUGUCGUGGAGAAUCAGGACUGUUACCUUGAAAAAAUUAGAGUGUUUAUAGCAGACUAACGCUUGAAUACAUUAGCAUGGAAUAAUGAAAUAGGACGUUCGACCCUAUUUUGUUGGUUUCUAGGAUCGACGUAAUGAUUAAUAGGGAUAGUUGGGGG